UUGGAGAUAUGGUUGAGAAAGUAAUAAAGAGAGAAAAAGGAAGAAGCGAUGGGGAAGAGACAAGUACGAAGAUGCUUUACUCGAAGAGGCAUGAAGAGAUAAGAGUUGAGCCACUUUUUCUCUCAGAUUCUUUGUUUCCUCUUUUACCUUUUUCAUCCUUCUAAUGGUUAUAUUCUCCUUGCAUCCGUCAUCCAUGAUUGAGCUCACUACACCCACAAAAAGAAAUUGUAUAUUAACCCUAAUAUUCUUCUCCUUAUCCCUUAUAACUCUAAUUUUUAGGUCAUUUUUUUUCAUGUUUCUUUUCUGACUAUGGGUCAUAGCUAUAUGUUAGCUACCGGGAACAUUUUUAUAUGCUCAUGAACCGACAUUUAAAUUUUGAUAAAAAAAUUAAUAUAUGUAAAUUGUAACUUAUUCAAGUAAUCUUCGUACAACAUCAACUAGAAGUUUGAUAUUAUAAACUUUGUCUAUUGCUUCCAUAUAAUCUUAUGCUGUUCUGCUAGAAAGUAAGAUCGAUUAAGAUAUUUUUGUGAAAUUAAUUCACUUCUACAAUGGAAACAUAGACUUGGGCCAGGAGUUUUUGCUCCUAAGAGGCAUGAAGAUAUGGUUGAGAAAGUAAUAAAGAGAAAAAAGGAAGAAGCUAUGGGGAAGCGACAAGUACGAAGAUGCUUUACUCAAAGAGGCAUGAAGAGAUAAGAAUUAAGGGGUUAUUUUCUUAACUUGUUGAACCAACCUAGUUUUUUUUUCCUCUUUCUAGUAUUGUUGUUUAAAUUUAGUUAAAACAAUGUACAUGCGGACAUCUUUCUUAUCUUUAUUUUGUUUGUCGAUAUUAUAUUUCUUAUAUAGUACUAAUAUGUGAAAUGUUAUUACACUAGAGGAUUUUGUAUUUUUGUUAGAAAUAACAUGUACAAAUGAGUAUGAUCUUUUUUUUGAACACAUACAAAUGAGCAUGAUCGAAAAAUAAAACAACACGAAAGAAACACAAGACAGUCAACCCAUUUACUGCUCAGAGGUCUCUUAUGGCAACUGUCUGACAACAACAAAGGAGUCGAACCUUACUUUUUUACUUCCUUUGCUAGCUUUUUAAUAGUAAAGACUAGUAGUCACACAAAAAUGACAGAAUUUAAAUCAGCUUGGCAGAAACGUAACUGUAUAUCAAUUACAGUAGAAUUAGUCUAUUGAUUUUGUUUCUGUUUCUCUAUUUUUAUAAAAGAAGAAAAACUACAGCCUUAAAAUAACUGUUUCGAAAAAGAAAAAGAAAACAUGAUGAUAAACAUGCCAAUAUGACUAUGAGUUGGAGAUAUACCCACCAACAGCUCGUAAAGUUUGACUAUAUAAUCUUUGUAGAAAUAAUGUACAAGAUUCCACCCUUAUAUGUAGUUUACAGAAUAUACAAAAUUGAGGAAGAAAGGAGAUCGAACCAUACAUUCUAUAUACAUAUAUGUAAUAUUUUGUGCUAUUUUUUUGUUACCAUAAGAUUUCAAACCAAAUUAAAUUUUGUCAUUAUUCUAAAUAUACAGCUUGUAUAACAAAAACUUAUAGUAUAAGAAAUGCAAGACACGAAAAUUGAUAUAUAUAUAUAUAUAUAUAUAGGAUAACUAUGCUAUUAUAUGAAAAAUAUUAUUUACGAUUUUAUUGCCGAUAAUUCUACCUACCUUAUGAGGAAUCACGACUGAUUGCAUCAUUUUGAGCCACCCCAUGAUAUUCACUUUUGACGGUACUCUUUGCUACAUAUUGUAGAGUUUUUGUAGCAUUUUCUCCAUUAACCACAUAAUUCGCCUUUGCUAGAAUUUAAAAUUCAUACUUUUUAAUGUAGAAUCAUUAGUAAACAUUUAGUUAAACCACUUGAAUAAGGGGAUUUUCACGCACAAAAUUGAUAGUUAAAAGAAUUUUUUUAUAUCCAAAUAAUAGAAUCAAGGACCGCUCUUUUUCACUCGGCUUCUCAUAACAUAAAAUAAUUUUCUUACCAAUACAUAAGUAUAAGAUUUACUCUAUAUGGCAUUGAAUAUGGAACCUGGGACAGCACGGCAUCUUUCUUUUGCUGGUCGUCUGCAGCUUAUUGGCUCAGUGGGGACAGAUGAUGCAGGUUCUGAUGGAUGGUUUACAUGACAAAACUAGUACCUUUCUUCUCCGGUACAGCUUUCAAGCUACUGUGUAUGUCAUAUGGCAUGAACAAAACGUGCGUUGAGAGACCCUCCUUCAUUGACAAGUUGGUCUGAAACCGAAUUUGUUUGAGUAGGAGAGGAGGUGGAAGGAAACACGAAAAAGCCAUGGUUCUAUGGUUUGCUAGUCGAUGAAUUCACUUCAUUUUUAGCUAGUUCUUUCAGCUCAAUUUACUUACUCAAACAAUAGUUGUUUGAUUCUAAUAUUUUAUUCUUGAGGUGAGUAACUUUAAAAUUCAUUAAAAAUAAGAAUAUGGAACCUGGGAAAAUAAAUAAAUAACACAGAUAUUUAAAAACUAUACUCUAUACUUCAUCAGUGUUUAAAAUAAUUAGAUUCACGCUAAGAUCCGAUUUAACUCUAUAUCGCCCAAAUGUAGUAACUAAUAUAAUUAUGACUAUAACACCCAAUCUCAAAAAAAAAAACACCCAAUCUCAAUCAUAUGUUAUCUCUCUCUUUCUAGUUGCUAACUCAACUUUACUUUUGCAGCAUCACCCAUCAUAGCCUCACGGCUAUAUUGAAGCCAUCUUCUCAUGGACAUACUGAAUUCUGAAAUGUGUUGUAAUUUUUUUCUUGGCAGAACUAAUGACGAUUUUAUAUACUUUAACAGAUCUUGAUAUCUUUACUCGGUGAUAUGGUGACUAUAUUAUGCUUCCAAUAAGAUGUUCCGUGAGUAAUAACUAUUCAAUAUAUCAUCUCUAUAUUAUGCUUCCAGUAAAAUAUUGAUUUUUAAACAAUUUUUUUUUUACUUUUGAUUCUUUAGUAGAACUAUGAUUUUCUUUCACUCUUUAUAUAUAAAAACAUUGAGUGAAACUUUGCUUAAAGAUUUGUCUGUCAAUUCAUGAUUUGAAUUACAGUUAAACCUAGUUAAAUGAUUUCCAAAAUUUAUCUAGAACUUCGAUUUCUUCGUAUAGAGGGCCAUGGUCGUCAUAUGCGUGGACAUUGAUGCGGUAGCUAAUCACGGCGGUCGUGUCGGAUUGACAAGGAAAGAUGGAAAAUAAUAUCGGAAAGUCAGACUUUGGUUUUAUUUUUAUCUGAUUUGAGAAAGAAUAGCAAAGUUAAAUCACUAACUAGAAAAAAUCGACAGGUUCCCUUUAAAAAUAUUACCCCAGGUGCUUGUAUAAUGCUAAGAAUUUCACCACUACUUGUAGGUAAUCAAUCUGUGGUAGAGUAGUAAGAGCACACUAGCUAGCUACAUGCUAAUAUUACACUUAAAUAUGAUAUUAGCAUAACCAUCUACACGUAUUUUGAUGUAAUUUUCUAGAAUACGUGAUUUAUUAUAUUAAAAAGUGUUUGGGUUCUAGUUCUACCACAAAUGUUUCAGGAUUCACUAUAUAUUUUUGUAUAUGUUAUGUAUAUAUAUAUUCUAUCAUCUUUUCUUUCCAAAUAACCAUUACUGUUGGCUAGUUCUCAGCCGCUUCGUUUCCCAUGCAAUUGUCGACGACAAUUGGUACGCGCAAUUUAAACAAGUGGAUCCGCAACAAUGUCGCCGACUCGCCUCCACCACAAAAGCUAUUUAAAAGUCUAUUGACCGUGUUCACGAUGUAUUGUUCGCCAAAAGGAACGUAAAAAGUUUGUUGAUAUAAUGCGCAACUGGUUCACAUUAGUAGGUCAUUUUCCCUAGGUUCUUUCUUGUUUUUAGGUUUUUGAUUUUCUUUUCCGAAGAAUUUUUGUUGCCAGUUAAGCUUAUUUUGUUUUCCUUUCUUGUAUUUACAAACUCUGCUUAGAUAGAGAAACAAUCGUUCUAAUUAGAAAAAUACCAUUGUUUUCAUUUCCUUUUAAGAUAUUUUUUCGAUGGAAGUACAACGUUACAAAUGAGCAAAACAAAGGAUUAGUUUACAUAUACAAAUUCAGCUUAUUACUGUAUUAUUACGAUAUAUAACACGAUUUACCAAAAUUAAGUUCAAAUUAAUACAGGUAUAUAAAUGUAUAAUUUUCCAAAGAGGCAAAUUUAUCUUACAAAUUAAAAGAUAAAUCGAAAAAGAAUGAACUCGAACAAUGGCCGGGAAUAAUAUAUUCGUCAACAAUAUAUUAUAAUUUUCAAAAGGAAGAGAAUUAAAAAGCCGUAUAUUCGAAGGAACCAAUUAUUUACAAGUGACAACAUUAUUCCAAAAUGGUUGAAUUAAACAGAUCAAUGCACUUGGAGCGCAGAAACCAUAUAUAUCGCUGCUCAAUAUGCGUCUAUAAAUAGUGGUUUCAAGAAAUCACCUCCUCAGUAUCAUCUCAUCAACGACUCUUUGGCUUCAUGUUGUAGGAGAAUCUUGUGACCAUGUCCCAAACCAAGUUCGUAUAGCCUUCAUCAAGAUGCUUAUACCCUUUCCCUUGGACUGAUAACAUUAUAAGAGGGGCCUUUUUGUCUACAAACUUAGUCAGGCUAUUCGCAUCACACGGUUGCUCACCAUGUCGACGCGAGUUACGCUCCCUCCAUAUACUGUGAACAGUGGCUUGAAAGGUAUAGCGUAGAAGAAAUACCUGUGUAGGAUUGUGUCUCGUAGUGGUGAUAAUGUCAAUUAUAUCAUCGCACGUUGGUGAUAAGUCCACUAAUACAUUAUUGCCUGAAGCAAUUAUGAACUUGUAAUGGCCAAAACACAAGUUUGGUUUCUCUAAUACCAAUAAUCAAUAUUCCAGUA